GAUGAACGCUGGCGGCGUGCCUAAUACAUGCAAGUCGAGCGGACAGAUGAGGCGCUUGCUCCUCUGACGUUAGCGGAGGACGGGUGAGUAACACGUGUAUCACCUACCUAUCAGACUGGGAUCACUUCGGGAAACCGGAGCUAAUACCGGAUAAUCUAUUGAACCGCAUGGUUGAAUGGUGAAAGACGGUUUUGCUGUCACGUAUCGAUGGAUCCCGGCCGCAUGAGCUAGUUGGUAAGGUAACGGCUUUCCAAGGCAACGAUGCGUAGCCGACCUGAUAGGGGGAUCGGCGACCUGGGAACGGAACCGGCGUCAAGAGGACUAAGGGAGGCAGCAGUAGGGAAUCUUCCGCAGUGGGCGAAAGCCUGGCGGAGCAACGGCGCGUGAGUGAUGGAGGUCUUCGGAUCGAAAAACUCUGUUAUUGGGGAAGAACAAAUGUCUAAGGAACUGUGCACGUCUUGACGGUACCGAAUCAGAAAGCCACGGCUAACUACGUG
rnacentral:rRNA from 1 species